UAUAAACUGCUCUCUCUGCCUCCUCAGCAUCACAGACCUACAACACAGACAGUGUCCAUAGUCACCACGUCACCAACAGUGAAAACUUGUCAAAGAUGGAGAGAAUGUCUGAUAAAGAGGUGCUUUUGAAAAUACUGGAAGAAUUGUCAGAUAAGGAAUUCAAGACGUUCCAGUGGUUCCUGCAGGAUCCUGACUUCCUGGUAGGAUUCCAGGCCAUCCCAAAGAACCAACUGGAACACGCAGACAGGAUAGACACAGUCGAUAAGAUCCUACAUCACUUCAGCCGUCAGUCUGUGGAAGUGGUGAAGAAGGUUUUAAAGCAUGUCGAUAGGAAUGAUCUGGUGGAGAAAUGUUAAAGCACCAGCCCAGGAGCACAAGGCAUGUUUCCAUGGAGACAACCUGAGGUCUGUUCUUCACCCAACACAAUGUUGGAGGAUCCACUCUCUCUACAGACCCCUACCCCACCCCAGACCACCAGCCCCAGUGCAACCACACUGCCUGCAGUGAGGACCCCCCCUGCUGUUUAAUGUUGAGUAGAGCAGCUCCCUCCCUCUAGUUCACAAGCUGAAGUCAGAUCAUGUUGAAUAUGAAUCAGUCUAAUAAAGUUCAAGUCAAACACAAUCAAACUUGUGAUGUUUAGUAUUUGAUAUGAAACAUUGUUGAUAUAAAAUAAUUGGAGGACAUUGAGACAAACUCACCACCUUUUGGUAAUGUUUCCUUCAUUCCUUUUGUCUCA